rnacentral:rRNA from 1 species
AUUGAGCGCUGGCGGCAGGCUUAACACAUGCAAGUCGAGCGGGGGAAGGUAGCUUGCUACCGGACCUAGCGGCGGACGGGUGAGUAAUGCUUAGGAAUCUGCCUAUUAGUGGGGGACAACAUCUCGAAAGGGAUGCUAAUACCGCAUACGUCCUACGGGAGAAAGCAGGGGAUCUUCGGACCUUGCGCUAAUAGAUGAGCCUAAGUCGGAUUAGCUAGUUGGUGGGGUAAAGGCCUACCAAGGCGACGAUCUGUAGCGGGUCUGAGAGGAUGAUCCGCCACACUGGGACUGAGACACGGCCCAGACUCCUACGGGAGGCAGCAGUGGGGAAUAUUGGGCAAUGGGGGGAACCCUGAUCCAGCCAUGCCGCGUGUGUGAAGAAGGCCUUAUGGUUGUAAAGCACUUUAAGCGAGGAGGAGGCUACUUUAGUUAAUACCUAGAGAUAGUGGACGUUACUCGCAGAAUAAGCACCGGCUAACUCUGUGCCAGCAGCCGCGGUAAUACAGAGGGUGCGAGCGUUAAUCGGAUUUACUGGGCGUAAAGCGUGCGUAGGCGGCUUAUUAAGUCGGAUGUGAAAUCCCCGAGCUUAACUUGGGAAUUGCAUUCGAUACUGGUGAGCUAGAGUAUGGGAGAGGAUGGUAGAAUUCCAGGUGUAGCGGUGAAAUGCGUAGAGAUCU